rnacentral:tRNA from 1 species
UGGUCAUUAGCUUAACGGAAAAGCAUCGUCCUUCUAAUGCGAUAAAUGCAGGUUCGAAUCCUGCAUGGCCAU